UGAAGAGUCCUCAGCUUUCUGCCUUCUCCAUGACUGGCUUACCACGGAGAAAGAAGUGAAGGGUAAGAGCCCACCCCAACUGUGAGAUGGAAGGCACCCAAGAGCCGUGAGACAGUGAGCGUUGUUGAUUCCAGGCUAUGCAGAUGCCAUGAAGCUGGGAGUGGAGCAGACGUCACCAUCAGUGAGAUAAGUGUCUGGUUUCGUGAGGACUCUUGUAACGGUCCACCUGCCUCCAGGCCAGCACUUGUCGUUAGCUGGGGCUGAGUUUGUAGGAAAAGGUUCCUGAAUAGCUGUAGUUACGAGGGAGACAAGGUCCCCAUUUUCAGGGGCUGGUCAUUUCUCUGUCCACAAGCAGUGUGUUCUCUGCAGCAGAAGGUUGGAUCCAGGGGGAUGACUCCAGCUGAGGAAUCAUCCAGGAGCAGCAGCCGGAGGAGAAAUUGGCGGAAGUGGACCUGAGCCGCCUGGAAAUCCUUCUAAGCAGACAUGAACAGUCUUCAGCUUUCUGCCUCCCACGUAACUGCCUGGAAAAGAAGUCGCGUGUCACUGUCUACUGCCUUCAUGUCAUGGAAAGCGAGCGAGAGCGAUGGGACCUCAAGAACUACUGAUGCCAAGGAAAAGCCGUCCUACUGGGAGUGGAACAGUCACCACUCUCAAUGAGAUAAGUGUCUGUUUUGGUGAUUGCUCUGCUCCCGGCCCACCUUGCUCCUGGUAGGGACGCUCCAUUUGCUGGGGCUGUGUUUGUAAGAAAGUGUUUUUGACUAGCUGUGUUUAUGAGGGAGACAAGGUCCCCAUUUUCAGAGGCUGCUCAGUUCUCUGGCCAGUAGCAGUGUGUCCUCUGCAUCAGAAGGUGAGAUCCAGGGGAUGACUCCAGGUGACGAGUUGCUUCCCUUCCUCCCAUGUUUCUCUCUCUGUCUGUCUCUUCUCUAGUAUGUUGGCCAACACUCUCUUUCUCUCUCUCUGUCUCUGUCCUUGCCUCUCCUUCUCCCUUCUCCCUUCAUAGCACACGGGCAGGAGUGCUAGGUGUGCAUCCCCACAGGCUAGGUCUUGGGAGCUAUGAACAAGUAGGAGGGGAUGAAAAUCAUGCUGGACAGUGGGUGCGAGAGUGGAGCGGUGACUCAGUGUUUACUCGGUCUGUAUUCACUGAGUGGAUUUUACGCACCAAUAGAGCUGUAUGUAGUGAUGUCUCAUGCUUGGCUUUUGCAGCUGCGCUUCUAGAGGAAUCAUGGAGGAGCAGCAGCCGAAGGAGAAGGUGGCAGACGUGGACUUGAGCAGCUUGGACAUUGUUCUAAGCAGAGAUUAACAGUCCUCAGCUUUCUGCCUUGCACAUAACUGGCUGGCCUGAGGCAGCUGUCCUGUUUGGCCGGAGCUUCCUCGCGCCGGCUACGAAGAGGAACCACCGGAGCUUCCCUGGGCCCGGUACUGGAGGAGCCGCCGGAACUCCCCCGCGCCCACUACGAAGAGGAGCCGUCGGAGCCUCCCCGUCCCUGCUGUUACACGGAGGAGCCGCCCGAGCACGCCUGGCCGGACUUCCCCGAGGAGCUGCCGGACCUGCCACCAAGCCCUGGCCUUGAGGAGCCUAUGCUGAUUGACUGGCCUGGACCCGGUGCCCUGGACGAGCUGCGCUUGCAGAGGAAUUGUCCAGGAGCCCCAGCCCAAGGAGAAACUGGCAGAAGU